AUAUGAACUGGUUUGCUGAGUUUCCA
rnacentral:misc_RNA from 1 species